rnacentral:lncRNA from 1 species
AAGAAAACAAGCAAGUAAGAAAACAAGAGUGAGUGCUCAAGUAAAGAGGGUGGGUGCAAGAAAUAUUGAGGGUAAGAAUUGUAAGAUCAAAGCGGGUCCUUAUUUUAUAAUAAUAAGAUUCAAGUUAUGAGCAACCGAUUAUGUCCAUCAAAAAUAUUCAACAGGACUAACUUGCAUGUCCUUUGGCUAUUCCUCCACCUGCAUCCUCCCAUAAGUAAAAGUGUGAUAACUCUUGUCCACCAAAACUUUAGACAGAUGACCAGAAAUUACUUCAAUUUUUUACUUCUGCUAAGGAUUCCAACUCUAAUCUUUAUCAUCUUCGUACAACUAUAUUGAUUGUAAGACUACGCCGUAAAAUAAAAUCAAAUGAAGUAAUUAGAUAAGUUAUCACCUUAAAAAGACUUUUUAAAAAUUAAAUAGAUAGGUAAAUCUGGAAACAACGUUGGUUCUAAAACAGUCUUUGUGUCAAUGGACUCUUAAGUUAUCUGGAUAAAUAGGUAACUUAGCAUACAUCAAUUCCUUAGUAAACAUGAGACAUAUCUUCACUAGAAACCAAAUAAAACUAGUAUGUACUUUGUUUGUUCUUACAAAAAGAUUUAGGAAUUACUCAAAGUGUUUACUUCCUUGUCCGUCUCAGUGAUAUGGUCAAUUUACUAAUUGGAAUCUAAAAAGCAUCCAUCAUGCAGCAUGCUUAUUUUAUUUUAUUUAUUCUUUCUUUCUAUUUUUUCCAACGCAUAUAUGAUUUGGAAAGUAUAUUUUAAAUUUCUAAUCUGAAAAGUUUAUUUUCUAAGACUAACAUAUUAUUUGUCUGAAAUUAGAUAAUAAGUUCAUAAGUUUGAGUCAAGACUCAUUUUUAUUUUUUUGUAGGACGUUAGUUGAAGGUUACUUGAAAAGAAAUCGGAAGGAAAACAUGUUUUUUCUUUUUAAUUUUCCAUAGAGGCCACAAUAUGCAUUAAGCAUAACAUUGAUUUCCAUAGAAGCACAAGGUUGAAUCCAUCCACCUUUAAUCAGAUCCCGG